rnacentral:rRNA from 1 species
UACAUAGGUCCCAAGCGUUGUUCGGAUUCACUGGGCGUAAAGGGUGCGUAGGUGGUCAGGUAAGUCGGAUGUGAAAUCUCCGAGCUCAACUCGGAAACUGCAUUGGAAACUACCUGGCUCGAGGGUUGGAGGGGGGACUGGAAUGCUUGGUGUAGCAGUGAAAUGCGUAGAUAUCAAGCGGAACACCAGUGGCGAAGGCGAGUCCCUGGACAACUCCUGACACUGAUGCACGAAAGCUAGGGGAGCAAACAGG